UACGGGGGAGCAAGCGUUGUUCGGAUUUACUGGGCGUAAAGGGCGCGUAGGCGGCCACCGCAAGUCGGUUGUGAAAUCUCUGGGCUUAACCCAGAAAGGUCAACCGAUACUGCGGGGCUAGAGUGCAGAAGGGGCAACUGGAAUUCUCGGUGUAGCGGUGAAAUUCGUAGAUAUCAGGAGGAACACCAGUGGCGAAGGCGGCUUCCUGGACACCAACUGACGCUGAGACGCGAAAGCGUGGGGAGCAAACAGG
rnacentral:rRNA from 1 species